rnacentral:rRNA from 1 species
GAGCGCAACCCUCGCUGUGUGUUAUAAGUGUCACACGGUACUGCCGGUCGUUAAGCCGGAGGAAGGUGGGGAUGACGUCAAGUCAGCAUGGCCUUUAUAUCCUGGGCUACACACACGCUACAAUGGCCAACACAAUAGGUUGCUAAGCCGCGAGGUGGAGCCAAUCCAAAAAAGUUGGUCUCAGUUCAGAUUGUAGGCUGCAACUCGCCUGCAUGAAGAUGGAGUUGCUAGUAAACGCAGGUCAGCUAUACUGCGUUGAAUACGUUCCCGGGGCUU